AUUGAACGCUGGCGGCAGGCCUAACACAUGCAAGUCGAACGAACCCUUCGGGGUGAGUGGCGCACGGGUGCGUAACACGUGGGAAUAUGCCCUUAGGUAAGGAACAACGUCUGGAAACGGGCGCUAAUACCUUAUAAUGACUCCGGUCCAAAGAUUUAUCGCCUAAGGAUUAGCCCGCGCUAGAUUAGAUAGUUGGUGAGGUAAUGGCUCACCAAGUCGACGAUCUAUAGGGGGUCUGAGAGGAUGAUCCCCCACACUGGGACUGAGACACGGCCCAGACUCCUACGGGAGGCAGCAGUGAAGGAAUAUUGGACAAUGGAGAAACUCUGAUCCAGCCAUGCCGCGUGAGUG
rnacentral:rRNA from 1 species